UGUUUUCACGGGCUGCAGCCCUAUUUCUCUUCACCGUUCCAACCACGAGCUUGCAAGCUCUCCUCUCUCUCUUCUUGCAAGCUCUCCUCCCUCUCUCUCUUCAUCCAUGCUACAUAUGUAUAUGAUCUCAAAUCUUUUCAUUUUUCAGCUCUCUCUCUCCCCACACAUGCUACAUAGGCAUAUGAUACCAAGUUUUUAGCUUUUUCAGCAGAGUAGUUGCCAUCAUGGCAUAUUGGUUUGUUUGUUUGUUUUUUUUUUUUUUUUUUCAGCGUUCAGCCAUGGCUGAGUAGUUUUUUUGCAGGUUGUUUUUGUAACCAUGGGCAAAUUUUUUUUUUCAGUCUCCUCCACAAAUCUUUGAAGGGCCAUAGCAAAACUACAAGGUGGGUGAUAUUUAAUCCAUGCUUUUGGACCUAGAUCUGAACAAAAACUGAAAAAAAUGGCAAAUUUUUGGAAAAUGAGGGGCAAAUUUUGUGUUACACGAGCUGUUUGUUGAGAAGCACAAUUUUGGAAAAAUUAGGGCAAAUUUUGUACUAUAGAGCAAGUUUCUUGUUAUCAAAAAAACCAAAAAAGGACAGAAAAAAGUGGCGUAUGUGACAAGUGACGCAAAUUCCCUACCUCGCACUGGUUCCUCAAGCUCUUGCUCGCAAGGGUGAGAGAGAGAACAGAGGGAAGGGAGGCUCCAAGAAGAGAAGAGAGAGAGAGCCAGAGACAGGGGGAGCGGCUGGCUGUUGCGAAGAAAAGCUGAGCGGCUAGCCGUCGCAGGCGAGGGGCUGGCUGUACGAGAGGGGUGAAGAAAUAGGGCACAGGUGCGAAGAGGGGUGUUUUAUCGGGGUGGGAAAAACUUCUAUUUUCAAGUUCCAUGGUUUACCAUGGAACUUUUUUUACGUGUAAAACUGGGACAUGAAUAGUAAAAUGAACUUUUAUUUGUAUCCUACUUUUUUUUUUUUUUUAUCAAAUAUGAAUAGUAAAAUGCAAGUUACAUCUUCUGAGAACUAACUCUCUUGUUAUCAAACAGGUCCAAAGAGAAGAAACACCCUGCUCUUUAGCCUGUAGCCUGAAUUUCUCAUUUCUUUGAUAAAACUUGUGUUAGUAAGGAAAAAACGAGGCAAAAAAAGCUUCCAAUUAAGAAGAUAAGAAAACAAGACUAAUCAACAUGUGAGCUACUCUAAGGGGAGGAAUGGCCCCCUCAAGAAAGCCUAUGAGCUCUUCAUUCUCUGUGACAUCGAUAUCGCUUCUAUCAUAUUCUCUGAAAAUAACAAACCUUCCUUUUUUUUAGGAAAAAGAUGUAAUUAGACUAGCAUUUUUCUUGUUUACUUUGAGGUAUUCAUUGAUCUUGAUCAUGACUUGGUCUCUUAUAUUUUGUUGUUUUUGUCUGUGCUAUUUGUGCUUUUUUACACGAUUGAGCAAGCUUUUGAGCGCUAUAUGAACCUUCAUGAGCAUGUAUGAGGGAGUUUCCUAGAAGGCCUCAUGAAGUUGAGGUCUGAAGACGAUUUGGCCUCUCGAUUAACAUCUCAAAUAGUCCUCACCCACGCAUCGAGGAGCUUCUACAAGAAAUUAAUAGGGUCCAUCAUCAACUUGAGGAUGUAGAGAGAAAAUUAAGGGAUCAUCCACAUCCAAUGGUUGAAUGCGUACUGGUCUCAUUUGUCGAUUCUUUAAUUAUGAAUGUAAAUGCAUUGAACCUUGCUGAUCAAGUUGGAUUGAUCAAUGAGAGCAAUCGAGCGGAAGUGGAUGAAGAGUUUGCUCAAGUUGAGACUACAACAUCUUAGCUUCUUGAAACUUGCACUGCUACAACACUUGCCAUCCAUCCUCCCACAAUCUCAAGCCCAAAUACAAUGAACCCGGGAAUUGGAGACUCAAGUUUGUUGGCUCAAAAUUAGAUGGAAUUGGAGAGUAUGGUUCGUCGACUCAAAAUAAGGAGGAAUAGAUCGUUUGCCACUAUGCUUAUAUCAACUACACAAAACAAGGAUGACAUUUCUUUUUCUGUUUUUUUUUUUUUGGGGAUAUUUCUUGUAUGAGUCGGGUCUAAGAAAGCCCAAAUUCUUUC